ensembl:misc_RNA Y_RNA Y RNA
GGCUGGUCUGAGUGCAGUGGUGUUUACAACUAACUGAUCACAACUAGUGACAGAUUUCCUUGUUCCUUUUUUAUUCUCACUGCUUCACUUGACUAGCAUUAA